CCGGCCCGGCCCGGCCCGGCCCGGCGUCGGGGAGGGCGGGCGGGGGGCUCAGCACCCCGCGCCACCGCCGUCUUCACGCCGUCGUUUGCCCUUCUCUCCUCCUGCAACGCGACGCGCUGGCCGGAGCGGGGGCACCCCUCCCUUCACGGAGAUAAGGACCCACCCUGCGGGAACCUGUACCAGCAAAUCCUGCUGAGGAAGUCUCUGCUCUGCACAGUUUAUACUCCCAAAUUUAGACAGUGCACAGGAGGUGAAAAAACAGAAGCUACUAACAGAACAAGAUCUUCCACACUAGGAGACUGCAUCUUGAUGCAAGUCCAACAGAAGUCGCCAAGCUGAAGCCCAGCUAUUUUGACAGAUAACGGGCCUCCUGUAGAGCAUGCUCCAAAGAGGUGGUCUGCUCACAGAAAUGAUUGUCAUCUUGGCUGAGUAUUGCUUGAAUGAUCAUCUUCAGAGUCUGUUGCAUUUGUGAGUAGG